AAGAAAACCAACGAAUCGCUGGUUCCGCUCUUCCCUAUAAAUUGAGUUUGUGUUAAAAAUCUUCAAAUCCUUUUUAUUUUUUUCCUCUUCUGCCUGCUGCUUCGAUCCGCUCAUGCUGUCCAGGUUGCAGUUUCGUUAGACGAUCGCAUGGGUUCGCUGAAGAUUGCUGCCGGUUGGGAUGUCCACGAGCUGAAGCAACGCAGUCAAUUGGGGAACCCUAACUCGUGUGCGGUCGCUUUGCUUUGUUUCGACUCAUCAAAAUCAGGCUUUGGCUUCAGGUUCAUCGUGGGCAAGAAGAAAGCAGGCAAGCAGGGUUCGAGCCGACUGAAUGUAGGUAAUCGGGAGAAGACUAGUUUGAUUUCUUCUUAUGAAGACGCGAGUGGUUUGUCGCUCAAACGUAGUGUUCGAUUGGAGAAUUUUGUGGUUUGUGGAUUGGAUAGGAACGAUGGGUCCAUUUUGGCCAAUGGAUCUGUCAACAAAAAUGACGGGAAUAUGAACCUCAAGAAUCCGGUCUCAAAGACGUUGGAUCUUCAGGAUAAGACCACAAGUCCAAGGAACAGGAGGAAAAUAUGGAAUCGGCUCCAGAGAAUGCAGAAAGCAUCACAGCAGAAAGUUUCAAGUGUUAUUCCUACAAGCAAGGAUGUGUUUGAGAAAAGGAUUGCUGAAGGCGAUAUUGAUGCAGGAGAAUCUAAUGCUAAUCCUGAUUCUAGUAUGGAACACUGUAACUCUAUUCUUAAGCGCCUUGAGAAGAGAAGUGAGGAAAAGACAGUGCAGUUCUUUGAAUGGAUGAGGCAGUAUGGAAAAGUCGGAGAAAAUAUUGAUGCUUAUUGCUUAGUAUUGCGAGCCUUGGCGAGGAAGGAGGAUUGGUCUAGAGCCAGUAUGUUAAUUCAGGAAAUGACUUCUGAGUCCCUGUGUGAAUUGGAUGUUAAGGUCUUCAAUCCACUAAUAUAUGUAUGUGCCAAAAGGGGGCUAGUUGGAUGGGGAACAAAAUGGUUUCACAUGAUGUUGGAGAAGGGCAUUGAUCCUAAUGUUGCUACGAUUGGCAUGCUUAUGGCACUUUACCAAAAGAAGUCUUGUCUUUCUCAAGCUGAAUUUGCAUUUGGUCACAUGAGAAGAUUGAAAUUGAAAUGCAUCAAAGCAUACUCAUCCAUGAUCACCAUUUGCACGCGCCUCAGGCUGUACCACAAAUCAGAAGAUAUCAUCAGGGUUAUGAACGAAGAGAAAAUCCUUCCAGAUACAGAGAACUGGUUAGUGCGCCUUAAUGCUUACUGUCAACAAGGUAAAACAGAAGAGGCUGAAGCUGUGUUGAAGUCCAUGCUCGAAACUGGGAUGCCUCCCAAUAUUAUUGCAUAUAAUACCUUGAUCACUGGGUAUGGGAGGGUUGCUAACAUGAAGGCUGCAAAGCAUUUAUUUCAAAAUCUUAAAAGUGUUGGUUUAAAUCCCGAUGAAACCACCUAUAGGUCCAUGGUUGAAGGUUUUGGCAGAACUGACAACUAUGAGGAAGCAUUGUGGUACUAUGAGAAACUUAAAAGUUUAGGAUUUCACCCAAACUCUUCCAACUUCUAUACUCUAAUUAAUCUGCAAGCUAAAUAUGGGGAUGUGAUGGGCACUACUCAAACACUUGAAGAUAUGAGAAUAGCAGGUUGCCAAUAUUCUUCAAUUGUUAGUAGUCUUCUUCAGGCUUAUGAAAAGGCAGGAAGGAUAGAAAGUGUGCCUCAAAUUCUAAAGGCAUCUUUUUAUCAGAAAAUAUUGUUAGAUGCUACGUCAUGUUCUAUUUUAGCUAUUGCCUAUGUGAAAAAUUCAUUGAUUGAUGAUGCUUUAAGAGUUUUAAAGGAGAAAAAAUGGGAAGAUACUAGUUUUGAAGAAAACUUGUAUCAUCUAUUAAUAUGUUCUUGCAAGGAGUCUAGCCAUUACGAGAAUGCAGUCAAGAUCUAUCUGCAGAUGUCUGAUUCUGGGUUUAAUCAAAAUCUUCAUAUAACAUGUUCUAUGAUUGAUAUCUACAGUGCCAUGGAUAGGUUUAAUGAAGCUGAGAAGUUGUACCUAAAGUUGAAAGAUAACAGUGUCACCCUUGAUAUGAUUGCCUAUAGUAUAGUGGUGAGGAUGUAUAUCCGAGCAGGGUCCCUGGAGAAUGCUUGUGUGGUAUUGGAAAUGAUGGAGAAAGAGAAGAAUGUAGUCCCCGAUACAUUUCUAUUCCGUGACAUGCUUCGGACCUAUCAACAAUGUGGCAUGACACAUAAGUUGGCAAAUGUCUACUAUUGGAUACUUAAAAGUGGAGUUGUAUGGGAUGAGGCAAUGUACAAUUGUGUUAUAAACUGUUGUGCCCGUGCCUUACCUGUGGAUGAGCUCUCAAGGUUGUUUGAGGAAAUGAUGCGGAAUGGGUGUGCCAUCAACACUGUAACUUUCAAUGUAAUGCUAGAUGUCUAUGGAAAAACCGGAAUGCUUAAGAAGGCUUGGAAAGUAUUUUGCGUGGCCCACAAGCAGGGGUUGGCAGAUGUUAUUUCCUACAACACCAUCAUAGCAGCAUACGGAAAAAGCAAGGAUUUCCAGAGCAUGGAAACUGUUAUUGACAAAAUGCAAUCUUCAGGUCACCCUGUUUCCUUGGAAGCAUAUAACUGCCUGCUGGAUGCAUAUGGAAAAGAUAACCGACUGGUGGAGUUCCAUGAUAUUUUGCGUAAGAUGAAGGAAGCUCAGUGUAUUUCUGAUCAUUAUACUUACAACAUUAUGAUAAACAUCUACGGGACAAAGGGCUGGAUCAAAGAGGUUGCUUGUGUGCUUGCUGAACUGAAGAAUCGUGGGCUUGAACCUGAUUUGUAUAGUUACAACACCUUGAUCAAGGCAUAUGGAAUUGCUGGAAUGGUAGAAGAGGCUGUUAAUGUGGUACAAGAAAUGAGGAGUAGAGGGAUUAGACCUGACAGAAUAACAUAUUCCAACCUCAUAACCUCCCUCCAAAAGAACGAAAGUUUCCUAGAGGCUGUUAAAUGGUCACUGUGGAUGAAGCAGAUGGAAUCUCAUUCUGAGCUCUGCCCAUCAUAGAUCUGCCAGCCAGUAAUUGCGUGCUAUGAAUGAUAAAUAUGACUCUGCUCCAAUCAGAUAGGACCUUUUGUGUCUGAAUAUAAGAAAAAGGCCAUCUGUCUUAACUUUAUUUUUGCUGUAAAUGAGAAUUCUCUACAAGGUAAGCUUCAGGAACGCAGAUGUUCAGCAAGGGAAGGCUACUUGAGGAUUCGGGCCACCGUAGUGAAUGUUCAGGGAGCCUCUAGACGAUGAGCAAUUUUCUAGAAGGUGAGUACAAACUAGCAAAUAGCAGUUCUGGAUGAGAAUGAUCACACUGAUAAUAAAGCAAUAAGUACGUCCAAAAGGUGAUCACAAGCAAGCGAAACACUGACAUGGAUGAUCCCAGGGCUUAUUAAGUCUGAAUUUGAGGGAGAGAUUUGUUGGGCGUUCUAAUAUUCAACUUGAUGUUCCGUCUCACAAUCAAUACUCAGGCAAAUCUUAAUGUGUGUUUCACGAAUGAUGCAUUCAUUCGACGGCAAGAAAUAGCAACAGGCGGCAUUAUUAGUCAAUCCAAGGUAUUUUACUGAAGAUUGGUGAAGUUUAUCAAUCAAUUCACAUCUCAUUUCAUGGUCAGAGGUGAUGAUUUCGUGUGACGAUCCAAAUAUUCUUGUAGUCUAUUUCUUUCCGUUAUGGCUUUUUUUUCUGCGAUGCAAUGUGAGAUUUCGAGGGAACACUUGCAAAUUCCCUUGUUUGGGGUAUAUGUGAAUCAUUUUCUCUAAAUUUGGU